AUUUUGAUAGCUUAAAAAUUAAAAGCAUAAUAUUGAAGAUAUUAAUAUAGUUUAUUACUUCAAAAUA
rnacentral:tRNA from 1 species